UGGGGGAUAUUGCACAAUGGGCGAAAGCCUGAUGCAGCGACGCCGCGUGGGGGAUGAAGGCUUUCGGGUUGUAGACCUCUUUCGCUAUCGAACAAGGCCCGCUUAGGGUGGGUUGAGGGUAGGUGGAGAAGAAGCGCCGGCUAACUACGUGCCAGCAGCCGCGGUAAUACGUAGGGCGCGAGCGUUGUCCGGAAUUAUUGGGCGUAAAGGGCUUGUAGGCGGCUUGUUGCGCCUGCUGUGAAAACGCGGGGCUUAACUUCGCGCGUGCAGUGGGUACGGGCAGGCUUGAGUGUGGUAGGGGUGACUGGAAUUCCAGGUGUAGCGGUGGAAUGCGCAGAUAUCUGGAGGAACACCGAUGGCGAAGGCAGGUCACUGGGCCAUUACUGACGCUGAGGAGCGAAAGCAUGGGUAGCGAACAGG
rnacentral:rRNA from 1 species